AUCCCGCGGGCAAUCUAAAACUAAAACGAUACAGGAGGAUAAGCGUAUG
rnacentral:sRNA from 1 species